rnacentral:rRNA from 1 species
ACGAAAGUCUGAUGGAGCAAUACCACGUGAACGAUGAAGGUCUUCUGAUUGUAAAGUUCUUUUAUUUAGGGAAAAAAGCGCGCUAGGAAAUGAGCGCGCCUUGAUGGUACUAAUUGAAUAAGUGACAGCUAACUAUGUGCCAGCAGCUGCGGUAAAACAUAGGUCACGAGCAUUAUCCGGAUUUAUUGGGCGU